rnacentral:rRNA from 1 species
AUUGAACGCUGGCGGCAGGCCUAACACAUGCAAGUCGAGCGAGCGGCGGACGGGUGAGCAAUGUAUGGGGACUGCCUGAUCGAGGGGGAUAACUACUGGAAACGGUGGCUAAUACCGCAUAAUACCGGAUAACCCAUAUGGGAUUAGCUAGUCGGUGUGGUAAAGGCUCACCUAGGCGACGAUCCCUAGCUGGUCUGAGAGGGUGAUCAGCCACACUGGGACUGAGACACGGCCCAGACUCCUACGGAGGCAGCAGUGGGGAAUAUUGCACAAUGGGCGCAAGCCUGAUGCAGCCAUGCUGCGUGUGUGAAGAAGGCUUUAGGGUUGUAAAGUACUUUCGGCGGGGAGGCGUUACCCACAGAAGAAGCACCGGCUAACUACGUGCCAGCAGCCGCGGUAAUAC